UACAGAGGUCCCGAGCGUUGUUCGGAUUCAUUGGGCGUAAAGGGUGCGUAGGCGGCGGGGCAAGUCUGAUGUGAAAUCCUGGGGCUCAACCUCAGAACUGCAUUGGAUACUGCCUUGCUAGAGUACUGGAGAGGGAACUGGAAUUUACGGUGUAGCAGUGAAAUGCGUAGAGAUCGUAAGGAAGGCCAGUGGCGAAGGCGGGUCUCUGGACAGUUCCUGACGCUGAGGCACGAAUGCCAGGGGAGCAAACGGG
rnacentral:rRNA from 1 species